rnacentral:rRNA from 1 species
CCCUCCGGGGUGCAGCAGGGUUAAGCUGGUGCAGCAUUCAUAUUAACGGCUCCUCGCCAUUUGGUAUGGGUGAACUUGAAUCGCAAAAACUCUAUGUCUCGGUGCCUAUGUGGUGAAACGCUAUGCUUUGACCCAACCGCAGAGGAACAGAGGCCAUAUUCUCUGCCUGAAAUCACCCACAUAAUUCAGCGAAGAGCCAAAAAUUGAACUAUUAGAUAGCGAUAGAUAAAAGAAAAAGCAGGAAAAAGAUGAGGUGCAUCCGUCGAAAAGUAAUAUUAUAUUUAUUUUCACAUAAUAAGCUUCUCUAUCCUCUCCAGAGCCUGACGGAUCCGAUUCUGGCUGGUGGCGUAGGAGAGCCGGACAUAAUCCCUUCCCCCUGGUCCAAAGGCAGAUCAGGAAUUGGCGGGAGAGC